rnacentral:rRNA from 1 species
AUUGAACGCUGGCGGCAUGCUUUACACAUGCAAGUCGAACGGUAACAGGGUGCUUGCACCGCUGACGAGUGGCGAACGGGUGAGUAAUGCAUCGGAAUGUACCGUGUAAUGGGGGAUAGCUCGGCGAAAGCCGGAUUAAUACCGCAUACGCCCUGAGGGGGAAAGUGGGGGACCGAAAGGCCUCACGUUAUACGAGCAGCCGAUGCCUGAUUAGCUAGUUGGUGAGGUAAAGGCUCACCAAGGCGUCGAACAGUAGCGGGUCUGAGAGGAUGAUCCGCCACACUGGGACUGAGACACGGCCCAGACUCCUACGGGAGGCAGCAGUGGGGAAUUUUGGACAAUGGGCGCAAGCCUGAUCCAGCCAUGCCGCGUGUCUGAAGAAGGCCUUCGGGUUGUAAAGGACUUUUGUCCGGGAGCAAAUCCUAGUGGUUAAUAACCGCUGGGUCUGAGAGUACCGGAAGAAUAAGCACCGGCUAACUACGUG